rnacentral:tRNA from 9 species
GCGCGUUUAGCUCAGCGGGAGAGCGCUUCCCUGACACGGAAGAGGUCACUGGUUCGAUCCCAGUAUCGCGCAC